rnacentral:rRNA from 1 species
CCUACGGGUGGCUGCAGUGGGGAAUAUUGGACAAUGGGCGAAAGCCUGAUCCAGCCAUGCCGCGUGUGUGAAGAAGGCCUUCGGGUUGUAAAGCACUUUCAGUGGGGAAGAAAGCCUUGGGGCUAAUACCCUCGAGGAAGGACAUCACCCACAGAAGAAGCACCGGCUAACUCCGUGCCAGCAGCCGCGGUAAUACGGAGGGUGCGAGCGUUAAUCGGAAUUACUGGGCGUAAAGCGCGCGUAGGCGGUCUGAUAAGCCGGUUGUGAAAGCCCCGGGCUCAACCUGGGAACGGCAUCCGGAACUGUCAGGCUAGAGUGCAGGAGAGGAAGGUAGAAUUCCCGGUGUAGCGGUGAAAUGCGUAGAGAUCGGGAGGAAUACCAGUGGCGAAGGCGGCCUUCUGGACUGACACUGACGCUGAGGUGCGAAAGCGUGGGUAGCAAACAGGAUUAGAUACCACGGUAGUC